CUACGGGUGGCACCAGUGAGGAAUAUUGCACAAUGGGGGGAACCCUGAUGCAGCAACGCCGCGUGGAGGAUGGCGCAUUUCGGUGUGUAAACUCCUUUUAUAUGUCAAGAAAAUGACGGUAGCAUAUGAAUAAGCACCGGCUAACUCCGUGCCAGCAGCCGCGGUAAUACGGAGGGUGCAAGCGUUACUCGGAAUCACGGGGCGUAAAGGACGCGUAGGCGGGUUGGAAAGUCAGGUGUGAAAUCCUACAGCUUAACUGUAGAACUGCACUUGAAACUUCUAAUCUAGAGUAUGGGAGGGGGAGAUGGAAUUAGUGGUGUAGGGGUAAAAUCCGUAGAUAUCACUAGGAAUACCUAAAGCGAAGGCGAUCUCCUGGAACAUUACUGACGCUAAGGCGUGAAAGCGUGGGGAGCAAACAGGAUUAGAUACCCUCGUAGUC
rnacentral:rRNA from 1 species